CAAAACAGAUAUAUGGAUUUCCAAAUCCUUUAGGGCUUUUAUUUCUCAGUCAAUUCUCAUGAAUCUCCAAGUAAAAAGGAGCCACAAGGCAUAUGGAUUAUGGUUAGAUAUGGCGCACAAUGGGUAGGUGGUUCCAGCGAAAUCAUUAAAGGUUGACAUGGUGAAGACAAAGAUCUUUCAAUGUGGAGGUUCAACAAAGCAACAAUCAAUAAGAAGGUGCAGAUAAAUUAUUCUACCAUGAUAUAAUGUGAUCGCUCUUCAAAGAGAAAUAUUGUAAUAUUAUCAUUCUAUGCUUGGAUCGUGACAAAGAUGAAACUUGAAGAUUAAGAACAACGAAUACUUAUCUUUGAAGAGAGGAAGAAGAGUUUCUUUCAGUUAAUAAUAGUUACUACUUCUCUCUUCAAGCUUCAAGAAGAGUUUCUACAACCGAGGGAGAGAUAAUCGAGUGAUAAUUAAGAAUAAGUUACGUGAUGAGGAGAAAAUGUUGAGUUAAUGAAAUAUGUGCAAAAGCAAGUUAUCA